GUGCUCGCUUCAGCAGCACAUAGACUAAAAUUGGAACGAUACAGAGAAGAUUAGCAUGGCCCCUGCACAAGGAUGACACGCAAAUUCAUGAAGCGUUUCAUAUUAAA
rnacentral:snRNA from 1 species